AGCCUCAGAGGGAAAGACAGUGGAAGUUCCUUUUAAAGGAGAUGUGGAACAUACCAUCCGAGACAUCCUAGGAGGGAUCCGCUCUACGUGUACCUAUGUGGGAGCAGCUAAGCUCAAAGAGUUGAGCAGGAGAACUACCUUCAUCCGAGUCACCCAGCAGGUGAAUCCAAUCUUCAGUGAGGGCUCCUGCAGUAACUCUGUACUUCUCUAUCUGCACACACAAAAUGCCCAAGGCACUCACUGGGGAGGAAGCAAGGAAGCAAACAGUCUGAGAAAAUGAUGCAAGAAAAUCAAAUGGGAAUCUGGGGACCCAACACAACAUCCUGAAGAUUAUUAAAAGGAAAAGAUGCUGAUUGGUACAUAAAUCUUUUACAUGGCCUUGGUCUAGAGGAGGCAGGCUUUUAGAAUCAUGUUUUGUUAAUCCGCUUCACUAAAUUGGACCUUCACAUAUCUAAAAAGCUCUGAAGUGUUUGUAUAUUUGAAAUACCUCAAUAAAGAGAGAGCUCAUUGACUGUAA
rnacentral:lncRNA from 1 species